CACCACUCCAGCAGAUGUGUUAGACACCUCAUUACAGUCUCUCAACGGUAGAGAAAUGGCUCCUACUUGGACUUUGCUGUCACAGGUCCCAUCUAGAUUGAAGAUGUGUUGAAGACAGUUGGAGCUUUCAUCUUUGCGUGCGUCUCAGCCUUCAGCACAGAGCUCAGGCCAGGUUUAAAGUGACAUCUGUAUAAGAGGAGAAUGGAAUCCCAGAACUUCAUGACCCCUAUGCUAGGGACAGGGCCUAAGGAGAAGGAGCCUUAUUUAACCUUCAAUGAAAGAGGAGAGGAGAGAGAACAACAUCUCAGGAGG